rnacentral:rRNA from 1 species
CCUACGUGAGGCUGCAGUGAGGAAUAUUGGUCAAUGGACGCGAGUCUGAACCAGCCAAGUAGCGUGAAGGAUGACUGCCCUAUGGGUUGUAAACUUCUUUUGUAAAGGAAUAAAACGAGGCACGUGUGCCUUUUUGCAUGUACUUUAUGAAUAAGGAUCGGCUAACUCCGUGCCAGCAGCCGCGGUAAUACGGAGGAUCCGAGCGUUAUCCGGAUUUAUUGGGUUUAAAGGGGGCGUAGAUGGGUUGUUAAGUCAGUUGUGAAAGUUUGCGGCUCAACCGUAAAAUUGCCAUUGAUACUGGCAGUCUUGAGUACAGUUGAGGUAGGCGGAAUUCGUGGUGUAGCGGUGAAAUGCUUAGAUAUCACGCAGAACCCCGAUUGCGAAGGCAGCUUACUAACGUGUGACUGACAUUGAUGCUCGAAAGUGUGGGUAUCAAACAGGAUUAGAUACCCCGGUAGUC